rnacentral:rRNA from 1 species
UACGUAGGGAGCAAGCGUUGUCCGGAAUCAUUGGGCGUAAAGCGCGCGUAGGCGGCCCUGUAAGUCCGUUGUGAAAGUCAAAGGCUCAACCUUUGAACGCCGAUGGAUACUGCAGGGCUAGAGUCCGGAAGAGGCGAGUGGAAUUCCUGGUGUAGCGGUGGAAUGCGCAGAUAUCAGGAGGAACACCAAUAGCGAAGGCAGCUCGCUGGGACGGUACUGACGCUAAGGCGCGAAAGCGUGGGGAGCGAACAGG